GGAUGGCUCAGUGAGCAGAGCAUGAGACUUUUAAUAUUAGGGUUGUGGGUUCAUACCCCAUGUUGGGCG